rnacentral:tRNA from 1 species
AGGGCGGUAGCUCAGUGGUUAGAGCAAGGGACUCAUAAUCCCCGGGUCGUGGGUUCGAUCCCCACCCGCCCUA